rnacentral:rRNA from 1 species
GAACGCGAAAGGGACUUUGGUCCUGAGUAGAGUGGCGCACGGGUGAGUAACGCGUAGAUAAUCUGUCCUUGUGUCUGGAAUAAUACGUCGAAAGGUGUACUAAUACCGGAUAUUCUUGCUUUUCAUAAGUUUAGCAAGCAAAGGUGGCCUCUGACAUAAGCUACUGCAUGAGGAGGAGUCUGCGUACCAUUAGCUAGUAGGUGGGGUAAUGGCCUACCUAGGCUACGAUGGUUAACGGGUCUGAGAGGAUGAUCCGUCACACUGGCACUGGAACACGGGCCAGACUCCUACGGGAGGCAGCAGUGAGGAAUAUUGCGCAAUGGGGGCAACCCUGACGCAGCGACGCCGCGGGAAGGCCUUCGGGUCGUAAAGCUCUGUCAAAGGGAAAGAAA